GGCACUAUGGCUCAGCAGGUUAAAGCCCCAGCCUGCAGUGCUGGCAUCCUAUAUUAGUGCCA
rnacentral:tRNA from 1 species